rnacentral:rRNA from 1 species
CGGGAGAUAGCUGGUUCUCCCCGAAAGCUAUUUAGGUAGCGCCUCGUGAAUUCAUCUCCGGGGGUAGAGCACUGUUUCGGCAAGGGGGUCAUCCCGACUUACCAACCCGAUGCAAACUGCGAAUACCGGAGAAUGUUAUCACGGGAGACACACGGCGGGUGCUAACGUCCGUCGUGAAGAGGGAAACAACCCAGACCGCCAGCUAAGGUCCCAAAGUCAUGGUUAAGUGGGAAACGAUGUGGGAAGGCCCAGACAGCCAGGAUGUUGGCUUAGAAGCAGCCAUCAUUUAAAGAAAGCGUAAUAGCUCACUGGUCGAGUCGGCCUGCGCGGAAGAUGUAACGGGGCUAAACCAUGCACCGAAGCUGCGGCAGCGACGCUUAUGCGUUGUUGGGUAGGGGAGCGUUCUGUAAGCCUGUGAAGGUGUGCUGUGAGGCAUGCUGGAGGUAUCAGAAGUGCGAAUGCUGACAUAAGUAACGAUAAAGCGGGUGAAAAGCCCGCUCGCCGGAAGACCAAGGGUUCCUGUCCAACGUUAAUCGGGGCAGGGUGAGUCGACCCCUAAGGCGAGGCCGAAAGGCGUAGUCGAUGGGAAACAGGUUAAUAUUCCUGUACUUGGUGUUACUGCGAAGGGGGGACGGAGAAGGCUAUGUUGGCCGGGCGACGGUUGUCCCGGUUUAAGCGUGUAGGCUGGUUUUCCAGGCAAAUCCGGAAAAUCAAGGCUGAGGCGUGAUGACGAGGCACUACGGUGCUGAAGCAACAAAUGCCCUGCUUCCAGGAAAAGCCUCUAAGCAUCAGGUAACAUCAAAUCGUACCCCAAACCGACACAGGUGGUCAGGUAGAGAAUACCAAGGCGCUUGAGAGAACUCGGGUGAAGGAACUAGGCAAAAUGGUGCCGUAACUUCGGGAGAAGGCACGCUGAUAUGUAGGUGAGGUCCCUCGCGGAUGGAGCUGAAAUCAGUCGAAGAUACCAGCUGGCUGCAACUGUUUAUUAAAAACACAGCACUGUGCAAACACGAAAGUGGACGUAUACGGUGUGACGCCUGCCCGGUGCCGGAAGGUUAAUUGAUGGGGUUAGCGGUAACGCGAAGCUCUUGAUCGAAGCCCCGGUAAACGGCGGCCGUAACUAUAACGGUCCUAAGGUAGCGAAAUUCCUUGUCGGGUAAGUUCCGACCUGCACGAAUGGCGUAAUGAUGGCCAGGCUGUCUCCACCCGAGACUCAGUGAAAUUGAACUCGCUGUGAAGAUGCAGUGUACCCGCGGCAAGACGGAAAGACCCCGUGAACCUUUACUAUAGCUUGACACUGAACAUUGAGCCUUGAUGUGUAGGAUAGGUGGGAGGCUUUGAAGUGUGGACGCCAGUCUGCAUGGAGCCGACCUUGAAAUACCACCCUUUAAUGUUUGAUGUUCUAACGUUGACCCGUAAUCCGGGUUGCGGACAGUGUCUGGUGGGUAGUUUGACUGGGGCGGUCUCCUCCUAAAGAGUAACGGAGGAGCACGAAGGUUGGCUAAUCCUGGUCGGACAUCAGGAGGUUAGUGCAAUGGCAUAAGCCAGCUUGACUGCGAGCGUGACGGCGCGAGCAGGUGCGAAAGCAGGUCAUAGUGAUCCGGUGGUUCUGAAUGGAAGGGCCAUCGCUCAACGGAUAAAAGGUACUCCGGGGAUAACAGGCUGAUACCGCCCAAGAGUUCAUAUCGACGGCGGUGUUUGGCACCUCGAUGUCGGCUCAUCACAUCCUGGGGCUGAAGUAGGUCCCAAGGGUAUGGCUGUUCGCCAUUUAAAGUGGUACGCGAGCUGGGUUUAGAACGUCGUGAGACAGUUCGGUCCCUAUCUGCCGUGGGCGCUGGAGAACUGAGGGGGGCUGCUCCUAGUACGAGAGGACCGGAGUGGACGCAUCACUGGUGUUCGGGUUGUCAUGCCAAUGGCACUGCCCGGUAGCUAAAUGCGGAAGAGAUAAGUGCUGAAAGCAUCUAAGCACGAAACUUGCC